rnacentral:rRNA from 1 species
UACGUAGGGGGCAAGCGUUGUCCGGAUUUAUUGGGCGUGAAGAGCUCGUAGGUGGUUUGGUAAGUCGGAUGUGAAAUCUCCAGGCUCAACCUGGAGGGGUCAUUCGAUACUGCCAUGACUAGAGGUCGGUAGGGGAGUGUGGAAUUCCUGGUGGAGCGGUGAAAUGCGCAGAUAUCAGGAGGAACACCGGUGGCGAAGGCGGAUCUCUGGGCCUUACCUGACGCUCAGGUGCGAAAGCUAGGGGAGCGAACAGG